CAAAAUCGCGAACAGCGCGGAAUGCAGGGAGCACGUCUUUGUAGCAGCAAAAGGGUUAAUGCGGCCGUGGUGGUUUUACUUCAUGAACUGCGCGCUCCCCCCUAAACAUUUUCUCUCGACACUUUCUGGCGGAUGCCGAGGAAGUAGACAGGCGCAGAGUCCGGGCCCGAUGGUUGGCGUAGCGAAGACGUGGCACCUGGACGUUCCAGCUGCGUCGAAGUAUCUUCCGGGCGGCAGUCCGCGAGUGAUGAUUGGCGGCCGUUGGUGAUCCCUGACUGGUGGAUGGCGAUAUCAUAUUGUGACCAUCCGCACUGGAAAAAGGCUCGAGCGCCAGCACUAAGUUGCAGGCGCCGCUUAACUCUGAUGCGGUAGCCGACCAUUGCGUUUGUGUGCCUGUGUGCGCCACGGCAAUGACUUUCAUGUAGUGAAUACACAAAGUGUUGCAGCCACAUUCCCUGUAACACUCUCAGAAGAUAUAUUCUCUCACAUUAACAGGGAUUAAAAUUUCUUAAGAUAGAUCUGGUGGACACUUAUCUUUAAUUACUGUCAUAUGAAUAAUCUCAAAAGUUUCUAGUGCUGAGGAAUCCAUUUCUUCUAUCCAAGUAUCCACAUCUUCCAUUCAGGUUAGCUAGUGCUCCAAUAAUUUCUUAAACAUUUCUAUAACAACUGCAUUCUACAAUGUGGUAAUUGUUUGGAUGACAGUCUGGCAGCCGUGCCACAGAAUUGUAUGAAUGGACCACAGCUGCUCACAGGUGGCACAGAUAGGCUGCGUCAGGUACCUAGCGGCACUCACAUUUACCGAAGGGCAAAAUUCUGUAAAAGUGUGGCGCAUAUGGGCGCAGGUCGGCAGAAACCAAGAAGCACUGCAAGCUGAGCCACUAUACAGUGCAGAUGCAUUUUUCCAGAUUCUAUUUCUGCAAGCCAUAGACCACUAGUCAAGCCCAACAUGGGCUCCCCAAUGAAGCACACAGAAGUUUGUUUAGCACUCUAUACCCAUUUUUGCUUUUGUUUCAUUGCAUUUGUGAAGUACACAGUGUCCCACAAUCGCAAAGAAAGUUUGCUCUGUUCUGGACACACAUCCAUUAGUCUCCCAAGAUCACAUCAUUAGGCAACCCACUCAUAUCACUGAUUUGUUUACACUCUCCUUGGCUCAGUGUUCUAGUUGAUCUAUUGUGCAAACACCCUUACCAUGAUUGCCAGUUAAUAGACAUUGCAUGGCUCAUUUACUCUUCAGUGUAGAAUAAAUAUAUUUAUGAUAAACAUGCACUCUGUCAAUGCCUGUCACCAAGCUGUCACCGUAGUCUCUUACCUGAGCAUAGUGCUUGGGUGCAGCCAUAAAGAUGGCUCACUGGACAACUGACAUAUGAGUGGCAAAACCACACAUUUCAGUUACAACAUCAUUGUCCCAGAUUAAAUUCUGCAACAUCUGCAGACUCAACAAAAGUUGUUUCAUGCAUUACAGACAGCCUUGUCAAAGUACAGCCUACAGAGGUGCCAUUUCUUUCAAGACUCAAUGCAGUACAUAGGGUUUGUUGUAACCCAAAACAAACUAUGACCCACAAAGCUGAGAUGACACUCCCCUAGAAUUUAAAUAGCUUUGCUGAAAAAGGUUAACUAUUGCAGUUGUUUUACCCAAAUGUGGCUUGCAUUUAAAAACCACUAGAUGCGCUCUAGCUUUGCACAGGUAGCACUAAGUAUCUAAAGUGAGAUGACUUGCGUGGUGCAGCAGUAAUUUCAUUUAUGGGCUGCUGCGUAGAGUUAUGAUUAAAACGCAGGUAGAAGAUACAUACAAAAUAGAGACCUGGUGUUUCAUACACAUGCGGUUGCCUUUCUCUUCACCUCAGACUCUAAAAAAGUUACCCCUGAAUGUACAGUAGGCUGCUGAGAAGAGGACUGCAAGAAAUGAGAGCGGUGUGUGUGUGUGUGUGUGUGUGUGUGUGUGUGUGUGUGUGAGACUGUGAAUCAGUUUUUCCCCUCACUCCCUUUUACCCAUGGCUGCAAAUUAUCAGUGGCAUUGACCAUUCAAAAACAUAUCAUCAUACUUCAUUGUCUGCCUUGUUUUGGCAUGUUCCAUUGCUCAAGAUGUAAGCGCUCCAGUUUUCUUUCUUUACAUUUUGAGUUAUUUAGUUAUUUAUAUCUGACCUCCCUGCAGUGGUAGUCCAUGCAAGCCUGGGAUUGCAUUUGGGUGGCCUUCCACUGAUUUCUACGAUUACUGUCAUUCACUGGUGGAUGGCAAUAUCAUUUUCACAGUGCCAGGAGGACUUCAAUUCAUCACAGUUCAGACAAUUUUCACAAAAAUAUUUAUAAAUCAUAUACACAGCCUACCCUCACACAGAUAAAUCAGUCUAUCAAUGCAAAUAGUAUCAAAAUCCCUACAGUAGUUCCUGAGAUUGGCCCAAACACACAGAGAAAAAUCACAUCCGUGGAUUUUAAUUUAUGUAUGAACUAGUGAACCCACUGUUGCUAAAUGUGUAUGGAAACUACACACACACACACACACACACACACACACACACACACACACACACUCUUUAUUGCCCCUCUCUCUGCACAUGUCCUUCUCCCCCCCUCUCUUUUUCCAUUUCCUCCCCUCCCCCCAAAAAAUCUCUCUCCAUCUCCUCCUCACCCCUCCCUCUCUGUCCGUCUGUCCCCCCCCCCCCCCCACUCCAAUCUCUGUCCAUGUCCUCUUGUUCUCCCUAUCUGACCUCGAGCCUUGUUUAUUGUUAUUCCAAAUGAAACCUUGAUUGGGAAAUGAAGUCACUUAAAAUGAAUGGGUAAAUCAGCUGGUAUAAUUAAUAUAAGGGACACAGGAGAGACCUCUCCAGCUGCCGGAUCUGUGCGGAUAGUUUCUUGAAUGACAGUAUUUCUCAUAUUUUUAACCUGUGAAUAGGUAGGGCUGCAAAGUUUCAGAUAAUUUACAUUCCAUAGUAGUAGUCUAAUCAUAUGUCUGUAAGCCAUGAAAACAACAUUCCUCUUUCCACUUAAAACUGACUGCUAUGAAUAAAAAAAAAAUAA